UCCUCAGCGCUUCUCAACGCAGACGGUUCUUCUGCCUGUAUCUACCACUAUGCAGACAGAAGAACCGUCUGCGUUGAGAAGCGCUGAGGA
rnacentral:pre_miRNA from 1 species